rnacentral:rRNA from 1 species
GAUGAACGCUGGCGGCGUGCCUAAUACAUGCAAGUCGAGCGAACGGACGAGAAGCUUGCUUCUCUGAUGUUAGCGGCGGACGGGUGAGUAACACGUGGAUAACCUACCUACAAGACUGGGAUAACUUCGGGAAACCGGAGCUAAUACCGGAUAAUAUUUUGAACCGCAUGGUUCAAAAGUGAAAGACGGUCUUGCUGUCACUUAUAGAUGGAUCCGCGCUGCAUUAGCUAGUUGGUAAGGUAACGGCUUACCAAGGCAACGAUGCAUAGCCGACCUGAGAGGGUGAUCGGCCACACUGGAACUGAGACACGGUCCAGACUCCUACGGGAGGCAGCAGUAGGGAAUCUUCCGCAAUGGGCGAAAGCCUGACGGAGCAACGCCGCGUGAGUGAUGAAGGUUUUCGGAUCGUAAAACUCUGUUAUUAGGGAAGAACAUAUGUGUAAGUAACUGUGCACAUCUUGACGGUACCUAAUCAGAAAGCCACGGCUAACUACGUG